UAAAUGUAAAUAUAUACCAUCUUAUUGUUACAAUGUUUUUUCAGAAGAAAACUCUUGAUAACCUACACUUACUUCCAUCUAGUUUUUCAAUGAAUAAGAUUUACAAACUAAGUCAUACUAGUUAGGUUAGUUAAAUUUUCUUGGGUGUUUCAUCCUCCACCUCCAAGUAUUUCAUCCUGCACCUCCAAUUUCCGAAAAUACCCUUAUUUAAUUAAUAGUUUAAGAGUUUAAUGUUUUGAUUAAUGUGAAUUUCUGUGCCAGCAUUGAGAUCACCUCCAUUUUGUUCCAAUCAGUAAGCAUGCAUUUUGCUGACCUCUGCAACCCUUGACCCUGCACCCCUUCACUCUACACCCCUACAUCACUCCUGCACCCAACUCCUGCACCCAACUUCUGCACCCCACUCCUGCACUCUCUCAUUUCCAGCAUACCACUUCUGCACCCCACUCCUACACUCUCUCAUUUCCAGCAUAGUGAUUCAUCUUUAUAAACAAACCUUACACCCC
rnacentral:lncRNA from 1 species